rnacentral:rRNA from 1 species
GAUGAACGCUGGCGGCGUGCCUAACACAUGCAAGUCGAGCGAUCUACUUCGGUAAAGAGCGGCCGACGGGUGAGUAACGCGUGGGUAGCCUGCCCUGUACACCCGGAUAACAUGCCGAAAGUUAUUCUAAUACGAGAUAAUAUGCUCUUAUUGCAUUGUAGAAGUACCAAAGCUUUUGCUGUACAGGAUGGACGCUCUUCCUAUUAGAUAGUUGGUCAGGUAAUGGCUUACCAAGGCGACGAUCAGUAGCCGAACUGAGAGGGUUGUCGGCCACCUUGGAGCGGAGACACGGUAGAAACUCCUACGGGAGGCAGGAGUGGGGAAUAUUGCACAACGGGGGAAAGGAUGAUGCAGCAACGACGGGUGAGCGAUGAAGGCAGUCGGGUAGUAAAGCUCUGUCAUCAAGGAAGAUAAUGACGGUACUUGAGGAGGAAGCCCCGGCUAACUACGUG